rnacentral:rRNA from 1 species
UACGGAGGGUGCGAGCGUUGUCCGGAUUUAUUGGGCGUAAAGAGCGUGUAGGCGGCCAGGUAGGUCCGUUGUGAAAACUCGAGGCUCAACCUCGAGACGUCGAUGGAAACCAUCUGGCUAGAGUCCGGAAGAGGAGAGUGGAAUUCCUGGUGUAGCGGUGAAAUGCGCAGAUAUCAGGAAGAACACCCGUGGCUAAGGCGGCUCUCUAGUACGGUACUGACGCUGAGACGCGAAAGCGUGGGGAGCGAACAGG